rnacentral:rRNA from 1 species
UGAGCAAUCUGCCCCUGACUCUGGGAUAACAGUUGGAAACAGCUGCUAAUACCGGAUACGAGACGUGACCGCAUGGUCAACGUUUGGAAAGAACUUCGGUCAGGGAUGAGCUCGCGGCCUAUCAGCUAGUUGGUGAGGUAAUGGCUCACCAAGGCGUCGACGGGUAGCCGGCCUGAGAGGGUGACCGGCCACACUGGGACUGAGACACGGCCCAGACCUCCGUAGGGAGG